rnacentral:rRNA from 1 species
UACGAAGGGGGGCUAGCGUUGCUCGGAAUCACUGGGCGUAAAGCGCACGUAGGCGGCUUCUUAAGUCAGGGGUGAAAUCCUGGAGCUCAACUCCAGAACUGCCUUUGAUACUGAGUAGCUUGAGUCCGGGAGAGGUGAGUGGAACUGCGAGUGUAGAGGUGAAAUUCGUAGAUAUUCGCAAGAACACCAGUGGCGAAGGCGGCUCACUGGCCCGGUACUGACGCUGAGGCGCGAAAGCUAGGGGAGCAAACGGGG